CUGGAAAUGUCCCUCUGAGUCACUCUUAACAAGACAGGAGAAAGCAGUUUCCUGCUUUCACGCCUUCCCUUUUUUCUUUUCUCUCUUCCUUCCUUCUUCCGUUCCUCUUCCUUCCCUCCCUCUUGACCUUCCUCUCUCCCUCCCUUCUUUCCUUCCUUCCUGUGGCUCUCCUUUGUGAGUGACCUACCUCCGCUUCCUACUCUGUGACUUUGCACAUUCAAUCAUUGCCUGGCUCCACCAGCAGUAUAUAAGGUGAAAGAGGAUCCUGCCAGCUGUUCUAGGCCCAGAGGACACCUCUCUCUCUCUCUCUGUCACUCACACACACACACACACACACACACACUCUCUCUCUCUCUCUCACACACACCCACUUAUUGAUGGGGUAAUAGGAUCAAGAGGUAGCUUUGCAUCAUCAAAAAGAAGUCAGUCAUUCUAGCCUGGAGCUUUAGAAGACGAAGUAAAAAAGAAGUCAGACAGUCCUAGCUUUGAAUCCUGGCCCAGCCACUUACUAGGUGGGAGACCUUGGAUGAGGAAACUGAGGCUGAAACAGGCAAUUAAUUUGUGCAGGUGGCACGUUUACUACAUGGUGGAACCAGGAUCUGAACUCAAAUUUGUCUGUGAAUGUUUUCAGAAUAUUCACCUACAUGUUGCCCAAAGUCAAGGCUGCCCUGGGGCAGUGUGUAUACCUGAAUGACAAUCAGUACAGGCACUGAGGGAAGGGAGAACCGAUGCUGGAGAGGCAAGCAUAACUGCCACUGUUAACUUUGUGACCAAACUUCAUGUCUUGUGGCCUAAAGGACAAUCGUAUCCCUUCUGGGGGAAUUUCCCCACCUCCAUGUUGAAGCCAAGGAUGACUAGUACUCCAUGGAAAAGAGGUCAACAUGAUAACCAGGAGAUGUGGUCAUGGGGCAUUAAAAGGUUCGAAGCUGUUCCAGAAAGGAUGUCAUUGAUGUGGAAUACAGAUCCCACAAAUUAGUGAGAACAUGCAACUCUUGUCUUUCGGUGCCUGGCUUAUUUCACCUGACAUAAUGAUCUCCAGUUCCAUCCAUGUUGUUGCAAAUGACAAGAUCUUCUUUUUCGUGGCUGAAUAGUACUUCCAUUGUGUCAAGCAAGAACAGACAUUCAAUGAAUGAAUACAUUUCUUCAAAGCCCAUAAUCCAAGUGAAUAGCAGGAUUCAUCUAUUCAUUCAAGAUGUUUCCUGGAUUCCAGCUCCAUGGU
rnacentral:lncRNA from 10 species